CGCGGGAUGGAGCAGUUCGGUAGCUCGUCGGGCCCAUAACCCGAAGGUCGCAGGUUCAAAUCCUGCUCCCGCAA
rnacentral:tRNA from 3 species